rnacentral:lncRNA from 1 species
AUGACAGGCAAACUCAGCAAGAAGAAGGGCUACAAUGUGAACGACGAGAAAGCCAAGGACAAAGACAAGAAGGAUGAGGGCGUGGCAAGGGAAGAGGAGGGUCCCCGAAGGAGAGUGAGCCCCAGGCAGCUGCAGAGCCCGCCGAGGCCAUGGAGGGCAAGAAGUCUGACCAGGACGCGGAGGGCAAGGCCGAGGAGACAGAGGGCAAGAAGGAUGCCACGGCUGCCAAGGAGGAGACCCCGAAGGAAGAGCCCGAGAAGACAGAGAGCGCGCAGAGGCCAAGGCUGACCCCCCGAGAAAGAGCAGGCAGCCCCCGUCCCUGCUAAUGGCGGCGAGGCCCCCAAAGCUGCCGAAGUCACCACGGCCCGGGCCAAGAGCGCGGACCCUACCACUGGGGAGGAGCCCAGCAAGGAGGAAGGGAAACCUAAAAAGACUAAGGCGCCUGCAGCUCCUGCCACCCAGGAGACCAUAAGUGACGGGCUCCAGCAUGAUACGCAAACCGCAGCAGCUCGGAGGCUGCCCCCUCUUCCAAGGAGACCCCCCGCAGCCAGGAAGCCCCUAGUUCCACACCCAAGGCCCGGGCCCCCACAGCCUCCGCAGAAGAGCCCAAGCCGGCGGAGGCCCUGGCAGCUAAUUCCGAUCAAACUGUAGCCAUGAAAGAGUGA